UUUAUUAUUUCAAUUUUUUAUAUUUAAUAUAUGACAAAUUUUAUGUUAUCAUUAUUUUUUUUUAAUUUUUAGGGUUCCGUACUCGGUUUGGAAUCCUAUUAAUAUCGAUUUUUUUGAAAUCGUGUAACUAUAUAUAUAUAUUUUUUAAACAUUUGUUUUUAUACCAAAGGAGGAAGAAUUUUCUUAAAUUUUUUUUUCAAACUUGUUCCUUUUUGUAUCACUUAUAUUAUUUGUCAUACAACACAUAUUUUUUAAACAUUUGUUUUCAUAACAAAUAAGUUCGCUUUGAGUACGGAACCUUCAAUUUCAGUGCGAGUGUAACUCGUACUUGUCCGAUUUUUUACUUUAUAAUAAAAAUGUAGUUUUUUUUUGGUGAUAGAGUAUUAUCUCUUAUAUAUAAAAAGACUCUUCAUGUAUAUUUAUUUAUUUAUUGAAACACCACCGUAUAUGUUUCUUAUUGAAAAUUAUUACUGAAAUUGGCACUUUUUAUUACUAUUAUCGACAUUAAAACUUGACGAAAAACAGAUUCACAAAAUUUAAAAAUUAACAUCUACUUUUGUCAGGUAUUUUAGUUUACACUUCUGAUUAUUCUUUUUCUAUAAUAAUUAUCAAUUAUCACUUUAUAAACUCGCAUAUUCAAUGAUAACAAUUUAUAGCAGAAAAAUAGUUUUUUUUUCUAUAAUUUAUAAUAUUGAAGACGAAAAUAGUUGACAAAAGUAAACACCAGGUGGCGUAUUGCAUCAGUAAUCGCGCGCGUUCUAUCCGACAUGUUUUUUUUUUGGUUAGAAACAAAUUCGGUGGUAUGAAGUGCGGUUCAUCAAAUUUUACUGCAAUUAUGUCUGGCAUUGAGUUUAAAAAUCUAAAAUGUAAUUAGAAUAAGUAGUAAUGUGAAGUGUUAAUAUAUUGUUGAAUUAAGUAUAAUAAAACGAAUACUUGGAAAUUGGGAUAGAAAAAGUGAGGUUAGAAUUGACGUCACUGUUCAGAUUUUUCGUAUUCAAACACAUAGAAAUAUUUACCAUCAGUUAUUAAAAUUCGCCAAAAUAAUUAAAUAAAGAGUGUAUUUUAUCGUUUAUUUAUGCGAAAUUUUGAUUAAUAAUAAUAAAGUUAAUAUUUUUCAAUAUAUAUAUUGUUACGGGAGUGUUCGAAUUUUAACAAUAUUUUCACGUUAUCAAUUAUUUUUCAGUGAUUGUUGACACGGGAGUGCUCGAUUUUUUUUAAAUCGCAUUUAUUCGUUUAAAAAGAAAUUUAAUAAAGUUCGUGGAAAGUUAGUAUAAAAUAAAAAGUCCGGGAGUGUUGUACUUUUUUUUUUUUUUUUUUUUUAAAUCUGUGUGUUUGUGAUCUCGUCUCAACUUCAGGAAGAAGAUCGUGCAGAAGCUGAUGUCACUUUAUUAUUCUAUCCUCGAUGGCUUGUUGUGUGUUACGUGUACUUCAAAGAUAAGGGCAAAAGAACAACGAAUUCUUCAUAAUUCAGACUUUUUAGAACUCGGUCUAUUUUGACGGUUAUUUUUUACAUUUUCUAAAUGGAAAUUUAACUUGAAAGUGGGGAUCUCCGAGGGCUAUUUAGUAUGAAAGAAUAUCUUCUUGAAGCUGAAAAUUCGUCAUUAAGUUCAAGGUCGUAAGGUGAUAUAAUUGGCGUAUAGAAUAUGUGAG